rnacentral:rRNA from 1 species
UACGUAGGAGGCGAGCGUUGUCCGGAAUUACUGGGUGUAAAGCGCGCGUAGGUGGCCGGCCAAGUCUGCUGUGAAAUCGCCCGGCUCAACUGGGCGCAGUCAGUGGAUACGGUGUGGCUCGAGCAAGCUAGGGGGCAAUGGAAUUCCCGGUGUAGUGGUGGAAUGCGUAGAUAUCGGGAGGAACACCAGUGGCGAAGGCGGUUGCCUGGAGCUUUGCUGACGCUGAUGCGCGAAAGCGUGGGGAGCGAUCCGG